GAAUGUGUGUGUGUGUGUGUGUGUGUGUGUGUGUGUGUGAGGGUCCGGGGGGUGUAGGUGGGAUGUCUUUCUCCAUUCCUCUCCAGUAAGAAAAGCCUCCUGUGUAAAUGAUGACUGAGCAAACAGCGCUCUAGAGGAGAGCUGCAGAAGUCGCGGUUAUAGUGCGUCCACGUGCCGUGCAUCCCAAAUCAGCUGCCUCGCCUCCUUCUGCCUCCAUCUCUCCCUCUUCCUCCUGAUAAUGGAGUUAUGAUCCAUGGCCGUGUUCAUCUACGUCCGAGCAUCUGCAUCCAGCGGGGGCCUCCGUGAUCGGGAUCGGAGGUCACGAUCCCGGGACGAGCCAACAAGACUCCCCCAGCACUGAAAAAUCCAACUGGAUUCUCCCGGGCCAGGACUUGCCCAGCCUGCACAAUCUGGAGCUUCAGACUGAGAGGCCGCCCGCUGGAGUGUUGCCACGGCGACAAGCUGGCUAAACUCCGUUUACAAGCUUCUGAG